ACUGCUGUAAAAGUUGCACUGUCUUCUGGUAAUCAGAAUCAGAAAGUAGACUCAAUUGUGGCCAAACCACUUAAGGAUCAAGCAUUUGCUACUCCAGAUAAGGUGGCUGAACUUGUUCAGAAGGUAAAUGCAGCUAUUCAGCAAGAAUUGCCCGUGGUGAUGGCAAAGAUGAAACUUUAUCUGCAGAACGCAUCAACAAGAACAAUACUUUUUAAACCAAUAAAGACAAAUAUUGUGGAAGCACAUAUCCAAUUACAAUCCCUUGUAAAAGCCGAGUACUCCCCUCAAGAACAAAGCAUCAUUAAUAUGGUGUCCAUACAGGAGCUGCAAGCACAACUUGAUAGUCUCCUGUAGGAUGCAUGUAAAGCCUAUUCAUUUUUUUUUUUUUUUUUUUUUUUUU
rnacentral:misc_RNA from 1 species